rnacentral:rRNA from 1 species
UUCCGGUUGAUCCCGCCGGACCUGACUGCUAUCAGAUUGAUACUAAGCCAUGUUAGUCAUUGUAGUAAUACAAGGCAGACGGCUCAGUAACACGUAGUCAACCUAACUUAUGGACGGGGAUAGCCUCGGGAAACUGAGAAUAAUACCCGAUAGGUCAUGAUGCCUGGAAUGGUUUAUGACUCAAAUGAAUGUCGCCGUAGGAUGGGACUGCGAGCUAUCAGCUUGUUGGUGAGGUAAUGGCCCACCAAGGCUAUAGCAGCUACGGGCUCUGAGAGGAGUAGCCCGGAGAUGGGUACUGAGACAAGGACCCAGGCCCUAUGGGGCGCAGCAGGCGAGAAAACUUUGCAAUGCGCGAAAGCUCGACAAGGUUAAUCUGAGUGGUUCCUGCUAAAGGAACCUUUUGUUAGUCGUAGAACCACUGAUGAAUAAGGGGUGGGCAAGUUCUGGUGUCAGCCGCCGCGGUAAAACCAGCACCUCAAGUGGUCAGGAUGAUUAUUGGGCCUAGAGCAUCCGUAGCCUGUUCUGUAAGUUUACGGUUAAAUCCAUAAGCUCAACUUAUG